UUGAUAAAAAUUACAGUAUAAAUGUAUUUAAAAAUUUAAAUGUGAGAUUUUCUCUUCCCUCCCCUGAAAAAAUGUCAGCGACCAAAAUGUGGCCAUGCCUAUUAUACAAUGUAUAUUCGCUUUAUUUUAUAUCUAUUACUGGACCCACAUUUUAAAUAAAUAGCUGUACUUAUAACAUUCGAUUAAUAUUGUAUUCGUAAUACGUUUAAUCUAUUUCGGUAAUCGGUAACAGAUUUGUCAUUUUUAUUUGGACACACAUAUGACUUAUUGUCACGAUUAUAAUAUAUUGAGUAUAUACGAAAUAUAACUAUGUGUAAUAUACAA